CUCUAUGUCAGUGGUGAGGGGCUGUGCUACAGCCACACUCUCUCUCCCAGUCAGAGUUCUGUGUUGCCUCCGUUGCUCUAAAAUUACACCUAUGGAGCCGCGGCCCCAACUACCACCAGCUUGCUCAUCCCUCUACUCACACAGUCACCCGUCCCCUCACUCUCAUUUAUGCUUCACCUGUGAAUGGUGGUCCUGGGACAGCCACUGCUGGAGCCCGGGUGAGCCUGGGGGCUCCUCCCACUCUGUCCCUCCCUGAGACAGCCCUCGCCACAGCUCCCGAGCCGGCCACCACGUCCCUGCAUACUUCAUCAUCACCUGUGCCACCAGAAGCCACCACAGCUUUGGGGCACAACCUGAAGACCCUCACAGUCACCUUCCCCAUCUCCACCCUCCAGUAUUCAUCAGACAGGAGCAACGGCUCAGCCACGUUCAACUCCACUGAGAGGGUCCUGCAGAGCCUGGGGACACCCUGGUCCCAGCAGCUCCUGGUGGGUUAAAUCCCACCCAGCCCCUCCCCCAACCCCUGUCCCUCCUGCUCCUCCUCCUCCUCCUUCCUCCCCAGCUGGAUCCUUGUUCAAGAAGAGCAGCCUGGGCCUCUUCUCCUUGAGUUGCAGACUGGUCUCCCUCAGGCCUGUGAAGGAUGGGGCAGCCACCAGUGUGGACGCUGUCUGCAUCCACCACCGUGACCCCGUGGGCCACCAUGCCUCUGUGCUGGGAGCUGAGAGUCUCCACGUGUCUGCUCUUCCUCUCGGUGGCUCCAGGCUCUGCACCCUGGAGUUUAUGCAUGCAGAGAGAACACCAGCUGCAUUUCCGCAGCAUCAGCUGGAACCUCAGCAACCCGGAGCCCACAUCCUCGGAGUACACCGCCCUGCUGAGGGUCA